rnacentral:tRNA from 1 species
GCGUGUGUCGUCCAACGGCGAGGGCAUCUGGUUUCCACCCAGAAGAUGCAGGUUCGAUUCCUGUCACACGCAUCA